rnacentral:lncRNA from 1 species
GCUUACUGGGAAUGUAGAGUGGUAUGUCAUGGUUCAUUUGAUCAGCGCCUCCUCAUUUUACGGAGAAUGCGAGUCACUUUGUCCAAAUCGUGAGUAAAAAGAAGACGUUAAGACUUGAAGAGUCAUCGGAGUAAUAGUCCAUGGGAUCCAAAUUCUUGUUAGAGCAAUCUCUGUGGAGGUUUUAUCUUAUCAACCAGUAAAAAUACUAAUUCGCCGCGUGUACAAUGAUAUGCCCCUAAUAAGUGACAAGUAUGUUCACUCCGCCCUACCCAUUUUUUUGGGAUUUACCCCACAGUUGCCAAACGAUCUCACUUGCUUUGAUCAUAUUUGGGCCUUGUUUACUUCCC